rnacentral:rRNA from 1 species
CCUACGUGAGGCAGCAGUGAGGAAUAUUGGUCAAUGGGCUCGAGCCUGAACCAGCCCAGUAGCGUGAAGGCUGACUGCCCUACGGGUUGUACACUUUUUUUAUAAAGGAAUAAAGUGAGGCACGUGUUCCUUUUUGUAUGUACUUUAUGACUAAGGAUCGGCUAACUCCGUGCCAGCAGCCGCGGUAAUACGGAGGGUCCGAGUGUUAUCCGGAUUUAUUGGGUUUAAAGGGAGCGUUGAAGGGUUGGUAAUUCAGGUGUGAAAGUUUGCGGCUCAACCGUAAAAUUUGAAUUGAUCCUGGCAGUCUUGAGGACAGGUGAGGGUGGCGGAAUUCGGUGUGUAGCGGUGAAAUGCUUAGAUAGCACGAAGAACUCCGAUUGCGAAGGCAGCUUACUAAACUGCCACUGACAUUGAUGCUCGAAAGUGUGGGUAUCAAACAGGAUUAGAUACCCCAGUAGUC